CACCGGUGGCGAAGGCGACUUUUUGGCUGACAACUGACGCUGAGGCGCGAAAGCGUGGGGAGCAAACAGGAUUAGAUACCCUGGUAGUCCACGCCGUAAACGAUGAUUACUAGGUGUAGGGGGUAUCGACUCCCUCUGUGCCGCAGUUAACGCAUUAAGUAAUCCACCUGGGGAGUACGGCCGCAAGGUU
rnacentral:rRNA from 1 species